rnacentral:rRNA from 1 species
GGGAGAAGCACACUUUCGGGUGUGUGGAGACCGGCGAACGGGUGAGUAACACGUGAGAAACCUACCCCGGAGAUGGGAAUAACCACGGGAAACUGUGGCUAAUGCCCAAUAUUCUCCAUUUACCACAUGGCAGUUGGAGGAAAAGUCCGCUGCUCCGGGAUGGUCUCGCGGCGUAUCGGCUUGUUGGUGAGGUAAUGGCUCACCAAGGCAACGACGCGUAGCUGGAGUGAGAGCUCGAACAGCCACACUGGGACUGAGACACGGCCCAGACUCCUACGGGAGGCAGCAGUGGGGAAUCUUGCGCAAUGGGCGAAAGCCUGACGCAGCGACGCCGCGUGUGGGAAGAAGGCCUUCGGGUUGUAAACCACUUUCAGGAGGGAAGAAGCGAAAGUGACGGUACCUCCAGAAGAAGCCCCGGCCAACUACGUGCCAGCAGCCGCGGUAAUACGUAGGGGGCAAGCGUUGUCCGGAAUUAUUGGGCGUAAAGAGCUCGUAGGCGGUUCUUUAAGUCGGAUGUGAAAUCUCAGGGCUCAACUCUGAAACUGCACCCGAUACUGGAGAACUUGAGGCAGGUAGGGGAGAUCGGAAUUCCUGGUGUAUCGGUGAAAUGCGCAGAUAUCAGGAGGAACACCGGUGGCGAAGGGCGGAUCUCUGGGCCUGUUCUGACGCUGAGGAGCGAAAGCGUGGGGAGCAAACAGGGAUUAGAUACCCCUGGGUAGUCCACGCCGUAAACGAUGGGGUGCUAGGUGUGGGGGGAUAAUC